GGACAUUUGGGUUGGUUCCAAAUCUUUGCUAUUGUGAAUAAUGCCGCAAUAAACAUACGUGCACACUAAUAUUUAUUGUAGCUUUAUUUGUGACAACUAACACCUAGAAACGACCUAGAUAUCCACCAGCAAGUCAAUGGCUAGACCAAUCAGGAUGUAUUGGUGCAAUGGAGGAGGGCUCGGCAAUGAAAGGGCAGCAGCUGCUGAUGCGUCCUGUGUUGCUGAAUCUCGAACACAUCACACUGAGCAAGAACAGCUGGCAGCAGAACAGCAGGCACUGUAUGAUUCCAUGUUGCACAAUUCAAGAAGAUGCAGACACAUCUAUAAUGCCAGGAAGCAGCUCUUCCUGGCAAGGGGCUCGCGGAGAGCGAGUGACGGAGAACUCUGGGGUGAUAGGAGCCUCGUUUUUCUGACUGUGGUCUAAGUCUCGCUGGUGUGGAGAUAAGUCAGAACUCCUCACCGUGUAGGUUUUAAAGAUGUGCAGUUUACUGUGCACCAGUUAUGCCACAGUAAAGCUCUAAGCCAGGACGAAAAGAAGACUAAAACACUGGCAAGAAAUCCAACACUUUUCGUCCUAUUUUGGGCUCAAAAAUAUACGAUAAUCUUUUUAGAUUUGAAGGUAGAUUCAGGCUAAAAUACUGAGCUCAGAGGUGGUUCCUCAAAUGUCCAUGUCCUAAAGGAGAGUGCAUUCUUAUAAUAAGUUGGUUGUGAGUUAUUUUAAAUCCAUAUCACAUAUCAGAAAGUACAUUGCAUUGAAAGUGAUCAAAAGCCACCUUAUGUAAUGGGGACCUGUAAACAGCUACAGGUUUGGAAGAGAAAAUUUCUGAGAAAAUAUCCAAAUCUAUUCUUUUUGGGAAUGAUUCACUUUUACUCUUCGUGUACGUGUGUGUGUGACAAAGUCUCGCUCUUGUUCCCACGCUGGAGUGUGAUGGCACAACCUCGCCUCACUGCAACCUCUGCCUCCUGGGUUCAAGCAAUUCUCCUGCCUCAGCCUCCGGAAUAGCUGGGAUUACAGGCACACAUCACCACGCCCAGCUAAUUUUUGUAUUUUUAGUAGAGACGGGGUUUCACCAUGUUGUCCAAGCUGGUCUCGAACUCCUGACCUCAGGUGAUCUGCCUGCCUCGGCCUUGCAAACAGCUGGGAGUACAGGCAUGAGCCACUGUGCCCGGCUCUUUUAAUCUUUUAAUCAGGAAAUCAGCAGGACCUUUGAGAGAAGCAACUUAGGGCUCUAGACUCCUUUACAGGUUUCAUGGGGCUCUGGGGCCAUCUUGUGGUGACGAGCAGGCGCCUGUUCCUCAGGUCACCAUUUCCUGGAGCCACCUUCCAUCCCCCAGAACUCAGCUGGGCCCUGCAGACAUGUACAUGCUACCAGGUGACCUGUGGCCACUCCUCCUGCAAAGCUUUUCCAGGUGUCUCUGUUUUUCUUGUUCCUCAGAACGAUAAAAGUUCCCAGAUCCCAGGGACUUUCAGGCUGCUCCCACCACAGAGCUGGCCAGCAUCCUUUGAGGCAGAGAGAUGCUAGGGGGUCUCAGUCCUGGGAAGCUCUGGGAUGAACAUGGCUCCUGAGCAUAGACACCACCCUGACAGAGGCUCGUGCGUGUUCAGCUUCAUCCUCGGAACUUUACACUCACUCUUGACUCACUCCACUUUCUGUGUCUUUUUUUUUUUUUUGGCCUGACUUUUAAAAAAACAAUCUGAGAAUAAAGUGUAAAAAGAAAGUUUCUGAAUCCUUAACUGAGGUCAAAAUCUUGGAGCGAAAGCCAAAGAUGCAGUGGCCAAGAAGCCCGGGGAACGGGGGGCGCCCCCCAACCCAGAAUCAGUCACCAGUGGGGAGAAAACCCCCGAACCCAGAAUCAGUCAGCAGUGGAGAGAAAACCCCCGAACCCAGAACCAGUCAGCAGUGGAGAGAAAACCCCCGAACCCAGAACCAGUCAGCAGUGGAGAGAAAACCCCCGAACCCAGAACCAGUCAGCAGUGGGGAGAAAACAAGAGCUUCUAUGUGCGGCUCCCUGACGAGCACUUGGAAAGCAAAUGCGUUUCAGCCCAGAAGAAGGUCAAGUGAGGAAAUGCCCUAAAUGGGGCUUAUUCCUUGCCCAGCCCUGAGACUGGGCUGGAGGCCCCAGGCAGGAGAGGGAGGGCCAGGCCGUUUCAGGCUGUCACCACAGAAAAUGCUGAUGGAGCAGGAGGCUGCAGAGUGAGUCGACCUUUCUGCCCUCUAUGCAGAGGCCCAGCCCUUGUGGGCGGACCUCCUGACUCCCUCUUCUUACUUAGUCUGGCUACUGUUGGCAUAUUAAAGUUGGUGAUCAUUUUGAACAUGAG
rnacentral:lncRNA from 1 species